GCUCAGUAACACGUGGUUAACCUGCCCUUGGGACGGAAACACCCCCGGGAAACUGGGGCUAAUUUCCGAUAGGUGAGGGCUCCUGGAAUGGAUCUUCGCCUAAAGGGCGCUUAGGCCAUGCUUCUAGGCGCUGCCCAAGGAUGGGGCCGCGGCCGAUCAGGUUGUUGGUGAGGUAAUGGCUCACCAAGCCUUUAACCGGUUCGGGCCGUGGGAGCGGGAGCCCGGAGAUGGGCACUGAGACAAGGGCCCAGGCCCUACGGGGCGCAGCAGUCGCGAAAACUCCGCAAUACGCGAAGGCGUGACGGGGCUAUCCCGAGUGCCGUCCGCUGAGGAUGGCUUUUCCCCAGUGUAGAUAGCUGGGGGAAUAAGGAGAGGGCAAGUCUGGUGUCAGCCGCCGCGGUAAUACCAGCUCUCCGAGUGGUGGGGACGUUUAUUGGGCCUGAAGCAUCCGUAGCCAGCUGAGCAAGUCCCCAGUUAAAUCCAGCGAUUUAAUCGUUGGACUGCUGGGGAUACUGUCCGGCUAGGGGGUGGGAGAGGCCGACGGUAUNCCCGGGGUAGGGGUGAAAUCCUAUAAUCCCGGGAGGANCGCCAGUGGCGANNGCUGUNGGCUAGAACAUGCCCGACGGUGAGGNAUGAAAGCUGNGGGAGCGAACNNGAUUAGAUNCCNGGGUAGUCCAGCUGUAACGAUGCAGGCUANGUGUNAGGNCGNGCACGUGCNGCUCUANNGCCGCAGGGANGCUGUUAANCCUGCNNCNUNGGGANUACGG
rnacentral:rRNA from 1 species